UGAGCUUUCCAGCCUAAUUUAAGUUGUGGGAGUGGAGUAUCUCCAGUAGCAUCUAACCCAAAUCAUCUCUCUUCCCUCCUGCGUCUAUUUCUACGUUUAACCUCUCAGGUUAAGCUUUAUUUCAUUUUUUGUCAUAUGUGUCUCCCUUUUGGAUUUCUACUUAAUCGUUUACAGUACAGUUGUCUCCCUUCAUAUUUAUUUAAAUCAGUGGCUCUCCACCUUGGCUGCAAUUUAGAAUCAUCGAGGGAACUUUUAAAAGUCCCAGAGGCCAGUGUGCACAUCACACCAAGUAUGUAAGAGCUGGAGGGCGGGGGCAUUAGGGUACAGGCAGUAAUCAUUUUUUUAAAGCUCCCCAGAUGAUGUGAAUGUAUAGCCAGGGUUGGCAACCAAUAUUUGGAUUAUUGGUCUCUAAACCUUUCAGAGACUUCGGACAGUGGUUUUCAGUCUUUAGAGGGCACCAGAACCCCCGGAGGGCUUGUUAAGACUUAGAUUGCCAGGUCCCACCUCCAGAGUUUCUGAUUCAGCAGGUCUGGGGUGGGGCCUGAAAACGUACACUUCUAACAAGGCCCCAAGUGCUGCCGAUGUCUGGAUUGCGGACCGCACUUUGAGAACCACUGGAAAUGAGGAAGUGGAUUAGAAGGCGGCCCUGGAGGACCCUCCUAAGCCGUGUUGUAAUGUGGUGCCUGGAACUGAGGCUCCCAUUUUGCGACCCAGAGGGAAGCUGGCCUGAAAGCAAAGAUGUCUUCAGAGCAGAAGGGGAAGAUGGAAAGAACCUGGGUCCUUAGUGAUUUCCUCGUCCUGCUGAAUUAACACAACCCAAGAAGAGCCUUAUUUCUGAGCUUCCUGUGUAUAAUAAUAAUCUCUUUUUUUAAAGAAAUAAAAGGAAAUAGGGGAGAAAGAGGAGAAAGGAUAGAAAGAGGACAAUAAACAAGGAAGGGAAAAAUGGCAGGCCACCUUUAAGACUUUAUGUGCACUGGUAAGAAAUAAUGUCGUAAAAAAUACUUUCAUAGAGAAAUCUCUGUGAAAGAUUUCUGCUUGUGCCCCCUCUCCCCUGAUAUAUCA
rnacentral:lncRNA from 1 species